rnacentral:rRNA from 1 species
AGAGUUUGAUCAUGGCUCAGAACGAACGCUGGCGGCGUGGAUAAGACAUGCAAGUCGAGCGCUGAUUACGGGGUAGCAAUAUUCCGUAGUUGGAGCGGCGCAAGGGUGCGUAACACGUGGGUAAUCUGCCAUGAAGUUUGGGAUAACUCGCUGAAAGGCGAGCUAAUACCGGAUGUGACGAUUGGGAGGCAUCUUCUGAUCUUCAAAGUUGGGGACCGUAAGGCCUGACGCCUCAUGAUGAGCCCGCGGCCUAUCAGCUAGUUGGUGAGGUAACGGCUCACCAAGGCUAAGACGGGUAGCUGGUCUGAGAGGACGACCAGCCACACUGGAACUGAGACACGGUCCAGACACCUACGGGUGGCAGCAGUCGAGAAUUUUUCACAAUGGGGGAAACCCUGAUGGAGCGACGCCGCGUGGGGGAUGAAUGGCUUCGGCCCGUAAACCCCUGUCAUUCGCGAACAAUGCCUGUGGUCUAAUAAAUCACAGGUUGAUAGUAGCGGAAGAGGAAGGGACGGCUAACUCUGUGCCAGCAGCCGCGGUAAUACAGAGGUCCCAAGCGUUGUUCGGAUUCACUGGGCGUAAAGGGUGCGUAGGCGGUCGGGUAAGUCUGAUGUGAAAUCUCGGAGCUCAACUCCGAAACUGCAUUGGAUACUAUUCGGCUUGAGGUCUGGAGGGGGGACUGGAAUUCUCGGUGUAGCAGUGAAAUGCGUAGAUAUCGAGAGGAACACCAGUGGCGAAAGCGAGUCCCUGGACAGGUCCUGACGCUGAGGCACGAAAGCUAGGGGAGCAAACAGGAUUAGAUACCCUGGUAGUCCUAGCCGUAAACGGUGCGUAUUUGCUGUAAAAGGAUCGACCCCUUUUGUGGCGUAGCCACGCGUUAAUACGCCGCCUGGAAGUACGGUCGCAGAUUAAACUCAAAGAAAUUGACGGGGCCUGCACAAGCGGGUGGGAGUAUGUGGCU